AAUGUGCUAUAAUGUGACGUUAAGGAAGUAUCAUGGUAUUAACCAUGCACUUUGGCACUAAAGGCCCUGACACACCAAGCUGACGGUUGGCUGUCGGCCAAAGUCGGACCAUCGGUGAGCAUCUGUCGGCCUAGUUUUUGCAGUGUGUCCUGCACCGUCGGCUUUUCGGUGGAUUGACCAUGUUGAAUCGACGGCGGAGCUUGUAGGUAAGAGAGAUCACUGUGAUUGGCUGUUCAGCUUAGCGAAUCAGUGCACGAGAAGAGAAACGGAAAUGACGAAAGAAAGCAAACGACAAAGUCAAGAGAGUUGUUGAAUUGGCGGCAGAGCCUGUCGGUGAGAGAUCACUCUGAUUGGCUGUUCAGGUGAGAAACAUCACUCUGAUUGGCUGUUCAGCUUAGCGAAUCAGUGCACAAGAAGAGAAACGGAAGUGAUGAAAGAAAACAAACGAUAAAGUCCAGAGGGCACACACAGAAGGCUAAUUUUUGAUCUGCAUUUCAUCUGAACUUUCGUGAAUAUUUUCACAACGCCAUGGCCAUCUGGAACGAAGACACUGAAGACCAGCUGAUCACAAUGAUUCAGGAGAGGCUAGCUCUGUACGACAUCACAGAAAAACGUUAAGCCAACAGAGUGGUGAAAAGAGAACUCUGGCGUGAGAUUGAAAAUAAGCUUGUUAUAUCGGAUAAGAGUUUCUUUUUGGCCAUUGAGCUCUUUAGCAGGAACUGAUCGUAAUUGUUUGCUAGCUCACACACGAUGAAUAAGUUCUUUCUUUUUGUUUGUCAGAGAAAAAGCUCAGGAAGAGGUGGGAAUCUCUGCGAACCCAGUAUACCCGGUACAAGAAACUUGCAGCCUCGGGGAGUGUUGGAGCACAGAAGACUGGCAGGCAGCAGUGGAUAUUGACCCGGCUGCAGUUACACAAAAAGGAAGGAAACCUCCUCCAACCUAACUAUUGUGGAACCUUCGGUAGCUGAUGCUGAUUCUGAGUCACUCUCAGACUGGACCAGCACCUGAGAGGAUUGAGGAGCCUCAAGGCUGAACAAAGACCCAGCACUCCCCUAGCAGAAUCCAACAUCUGUGGAGCAGAGUCCGCACCUACACUGACCAGAGAGGAGCCACUGCCAAGCACCUCCAGCCAGUCAAGCACUCCGAGGCCUCGGGUAAAGCGCAGCAGGAAGAUGCUGGACGAGUCAGUCAGUGAGGAGUCAUCAAACUUGAUGCGCACCAUUGGUCAAACCCUGGAAAAGUUAGCUUCUCAGGAAGAGAACAAUCAUGCCAUCCAUGCCUACUGCAAAAACAUUGAGCACAGAAUGCAGAAGUUGCCCCCACAUUUACUGCCAUAUUUCCAGCAUGAGGUGGACGACUGCCUCUUCAAAUAUUCAGUGGACCAGAGCCUGGCAUCAGAAACAUGUGACAGACAGUUUAGUAAUCUGUAAUGAUGGAUGUGGCAACAAACUUGUAACAGAUGUAAAUAAUUCCUUUUAAUGCCGUGCUACGCAGUUGAUUAUUACAUUUAUAAGAAUUUCAUUGUCCUGCACAUUUGAUUAUAAAACACUUUGACUUU